CAGUAAAAUUAGAUACUUUGAAGAUGUCUCGGACAUGGUAAGCAAAUGUCUGAAGCUAUUCUCAUGUCAGAAUCACGUAUAGCUUUUGCCGAAAUUGGGUCAUUUUUUAAUCAAACUCUAGUUCCAAAACAACAUGAAUGGAGAAAAUUAAGGAUUCAAAGAAAGAAACUCAAAUUAACUUUAACCAGAAAAGAAGUCAUAAGGCUAGACAUAGAUUUCAAUAAUUAAGCUUUCAAUAACUGUUACAAAACUAUGGCUAGAACAAAAACACAGACUUAUAGCAAUGAAGAAUUGAACAAAAGCCUUGAAAUAGCAAUUUAUCAAUCAAAAAUGAAAACGAAAAAUAACCAAAGAAUAAUUUUAUUACAAAGAGAAACAACAUAGCAAAGAAAUUUUCACCUCUCAUAGCAACUGCCUUCCAUUUUUUCCUGUUGUGGACGAACAAAACAGAGAGAAAGAGAACAAUAAAUGAGAAGACAAAGAAAAAAGAAACAGAACAAAUGAGAAUAAAAGCAAGAAAGUGAAAAAUAUUUUCGAUCGCUCUCACCUGAUUGUAUUGCGAUUCCUCCAUUAGGGUUUAAGGAAUGGAAAUUUUACUUCCUCGUGAGAGGAUGAGAAAAACGGAAUAGAAAGAGGGAUUAGAAAAUACGGUUGAAGCAAAUU
rnacentral:lncRNA from 1 species